UACGUAGGGACCAAGCGUUGUUCGGAUUUACUGGGCGUAAAGGGCGCGUAGGCGGCGUGGUAAGUCAGCUGUGAAAUCUCCGAGCUUAACUCGGAACGGUCAGCUGAUACUGCUGUGCUAGAGUACAGAAGGGGCAAUCGGAAUUCUUGGUGUAGCGGUGAAAUGCGCAGAUAUCAGGAGGAACACCGGUGGCGAAGGCGGCAUCCUGGACCGGCAUUGACGCUGAGUGAGCGAAAGCCAGGGGAGCAAACGGG
rnacentral:rRNA from 1 species